rnacentral:rRNA from 1 species
GACGAACGCUGGCGGCGUGCCUAACACAUGCAAGUCGAGCGAAUGAAGUUCCUUCGGGAACGGAUUUAGCGGCGGACGGGUGAGUAACACGUGGGCAACCUGCCUCAUAGAGGGGAAUAGCCUUCCGAAAGGGAGAUUAAUACCGCAUAAGAUUGUAGUACCGCAUGGUACAGCAAUUAAAGGAGCAAUCCGCUAUGAGAUGGGCCCGCGGCGCAUUAGCUAGUUGGUGAGGUAACGGCUCACCAAGGCGACGAUGCGUAGCCGACCUGAGAGGGUGAUCGGCCACAUUGGGACUGAGACACGGCCCAGACUCCUACGGGAGGCAGCAGUGGGGAAUAUUGCACAAUGGGGGGAAACCCUGAUGCAGCAACGCCGCGUGAGUGAUGACGGCCUCGGUUGUAAAGGCUCUGUCUUCAGGGACGAGUAAUGACGGUACCUGAGGAGGAA